UGUAAGGGUCUCCGGUUGGUGACCAGCGGAGGGAUCAUUA
rnacentral:rRNA from 1 species